UUACACUGGACACGACAAAAAAAAAUUGCUUAAGAAACUCAAACCAAACCAAAGAAUUCGCAUGUGUAAUGUGUAAUAAGCAGUAAACAAUCAGCUAUAGAAAGGCGGCAAGGCCCCCCCCAGUUUGUGCAACAGCUUGUGUAGAGGAUCAAGUGGAUUGUCCGGUUCCGUAGUAUUGGUGACUCCCGCGAUAAGGGAACAGAGCAUUCGAGAUUACUGCGUAUUAAGUUACACUUACACAUUCAGAUUUCCUGCUCAGAAAGAACAACAACUGCGCCACAACAACAGCAACAACAAAGACAAUGGCAACGGCGCGAAAUGCUGCUGAGCCAGCGGAAUUGGCGCUCUUUCUCAACAACGAGCUGAGCCUUAGCAAGGCAAACGACAAUGGCAACGGCACCGACAAUGACAACGGCAACGGCAAAAAUAACAUGGCCACAAAUACUCCAAGGAAAUUCGUUGCUCCAGCCGCAAGCAGCAGCUUCAAUAAGUAUCGCAGCAGCGCCAACAACAAGGACAAACAGUUCAAUGCCAUUUGCAUGAAGGCCCAAGCUGGCCAAAGAGUGAUGAUCAUCAUGCGCGGGCCACCGGGCAGCGGCAAGUCCACAUUGGCCGAAUCUCUACUACGCCAAUGCCGUCUACUAGAGCACAACGAUGUGCUGGACUUUGUCUAUAGCACGGAUGAUUACUUCAAGUCCAGGCGCGGCUAUGAGUAUAAUCCAACUCAGCUGCCGACCGCCCACGAAUGGAACAAGGAGAGGGUACGCCAGAAGGCCUCUCUGGGCUGGAGUCCGAUCAUAGUCGACAACACCAACAUAAUGGUGUGGGAAAUGCAGCCCUAUGUCCAGAUUGCCGUACAGCAUGGCUACGUACUGGAGUUGUUGGAGCCGCAAACAAGCUGGUCCAAGUCUGCCAGUAAGCUGGCGCAAAAGAACAUCCAUCAGGUGCCCAGGGAGAACAUUCAGCGCAUGCUGGAGCGCUAUGAGAAGACCAGUGUGCCGGACCUUAUUAAGUUGCUGAAGGAAACGAAGUACACAGUAAAGUUGCCACAGCUACGCCAAUUCCCGCCACUGCCGGCGGUGCCCACCCCAGCCCCACUGCCGGAGAACGACAAUCCCGAUGGGCUAUCCCCAAACGGUUUCAAGCUGAAUAUUAAUGCCCGAACUUGGGUGCCCUACGAGCAGGGUGCUCCCGCCUACUGGUCGCGGUCGGGCAGUGAGCAGGCCACAGCAUCCUCCACAAUAGACCCAGCCGAAGUUGGGACUGGCUCGUACGAGAAAUCACUUAUAGAGCUGCUACGCGAUGAGCCGGCCGAAAAGGCCCCACCGCCGGCUGACUCCAGUGAACCAAAAACAACUUUAGAGCGCCACUGCCUGAACUGUCCCAACGAACCCUAUAAUUUCGUUUUACUGCGUCAAAUGUACCCGAACAAGCUACUGACGGGGCUCUGGGAUCUCUAUGUGAAGUGCAAAACAAAUGUGGACUGGGCUGUGGACAUACUGAUCAAAGAGGAUGAGCUGAAUGCCGACUCGGGGUCGGACUUUGACGCGUCCAUGCUGCCAGAGGAGUCGGCACAGUUCCAAUGCGAUUGUGGGAGAGCUGAGAAAAAGGAGGUGGCUCCUACGCCGCCCCGUACACCAUCGCCAACGGGAUUGGUGUCCAAGCCGAUGCCCAAGGCCCAACGCCAGAGCCGUAACAAACGCAUCUUGGCGCCGCCCAACAAGGAGCUCCAACUGCAAGUUGAGAACUGCUUUGUAAUAGGUGAUGAGCUAUACUCGGAGCACACCCGAAAGAUACGCGACAUUCGCAAUGGCAUACUCGAUCAGCCGCUGGUUGUUCCGCACUCGGAAGUCGUGGAAGCGGCGGAGGAGGAGGAGGAUCCCGAGGACAACAAUCUGGAGGAAAUGGACCUGGGGUCCACUUUGGUCAAGCAACUACGCACUCUAUUCCAUACGGACGGUGAGAUGAUGCCGCCAGAGGAGGAACUGCCCGCCACGAAGGUAUUUGUGCCACGUCAACUGCUGAAGCAGCUGUACAUGCUGUGGCUGGAGGGCGUCUACAACCAGCUGGAGGAGCAGCGUCAGAACACGCUGCGCGACGAUGAGCAAUUUGCACGCCUGUUGAAGCAUCCCGAAUACGCCGAGUGCAGCGAGUCGCCUAGCAACGUAAAUGAGCUGCUCGACAUGGAGCUGGCGUGGAGCAUUUACAACAGCGAGCAACAGGCCGCCAAGCAGGCGUCAGAGAUGGCCGCCCGUCAGCAGCCAAACGACAUUGCCACCCAUUUGACCAAGAUGAAGCUGUGCGAGAAGUUCCCGAAUAUACCCAACGACACGGUGCUCGAGAUAUUCUCGGCCACUGGCAGCAACUAUGGCAAGACCGUGGAGGUGCUCGACAGCAACGUCCAGAGCUCUCUCAACGAGGCGGAGCUUUAUGAUAAGGCGCUGCGCGAGAGCGAGAAGGUGGCUCUGCAGGAGCAACAGCAACAGCAGAAGUUACAGCAACCCAUUAAAGUCAGCGAGAAUGCUGCAAGCCAAGGCCAGCGUUGCGGAUCGUCAGCGUCGACGAGCAGCCGCUCGCCGCAGUUGCACGAGGAGGCAAAGAGCGCCGCUCUGCGUGACUUCGAGGAGACCCGGAAUCUGGCCGCCCAUCAUGCCCAGCUAAAGGCCGAAUGCUAUCUGAAGGCCAACCAGGCUGUGCAGAAGGGCAACGGCAACGUGGCCCUGUACUACUCCCAGAUAGCCAAUCUGCACAAGACAAAGAUCGAUGUGUUCAACCAUCGGGCGGCCACCUGCAUCAUGGAGGUGCACAAGCACACCCAGAACAAUCCCGAUCUGCUGGACCUGCACUAUCUGCACACCGUGGAGGCCAUCAGCUGUCUGGAUCUCUUCCUCGAUCGCCACAUAACCAAGCUGCGCAAGAGCACGCGUGUGUACAAGCAUGUGUUCAUCAUUACAGGACGGGGACUGCACAGCGCCAAUGGAGUGUCCACCAUCAAGAACAAGGUCAAGUCCAGACUGGGCGAACGACGUUUACGCUGGCAGGAGGUCAAUCCGGGACUGUUGCGCGUGAAGGUGUUUUCUGCAUCGCGACACUCGGAUAACUUUUGAUCAGCAGCCAUAAACGGUGCAGGUCGGAAGAGAAGCAGCAGCGGCCACUAAUCGGUUUCCAUAAUUACCCUUUGUAUUGAUUCUUACAAAAUUCAUAGUUGGCCCAUUUUGCUGGCAGUGUUUUUAUUAUUUACUUAUUUUAAUCAUAUUCCUCAUGCCAUGCAAGAGACAUUCCUCCCAAAUAACCCAUAUCUAUUCCUAAUAUCAACGUUUUAUGUGACACGCGAACCGCGGGCUAAUUGAAGUCGGUAAACAGGUGCUAUAGCCUCGCCAUAGCCAAAAACCAAACUCAAGUAUCUAUCAAAGAUAUAUAUUUUUGUACUACUGCACAAGUUAUUAAACUAUUAGCACAACAAUUUUUUCCAGAACCAGUCUCCGUUAAAUCCUUGCGCCCAGCAGGUAAACCAUCAGGGAUAUAUAUUAUUAGCGAUCAGGUACUUCAACUUCAGCGUUCCCACAAUCAGGUAGAUAGGAUACCCUACCUACUGCGAACAUCUGCCAAGUGCAGAAAACCCCAACGAAUUCCAGUGGAAACCCAGAUUUUUGUUUAAUGUUUGAAACAUGGAAAGACGAUCUUUUAUUUAAGUCUACAAAACUUAAGUUUUCUGGUCUGUUCUCCGGAAACAUUGUACAAAUGUAAAUUCAGUUCAUUAUAUUCAGAUACACAUGCAGUGUGUACACAAA